GGCCGCCCUCCUUUGGGUCUGCAGGAGGAGAAAGAAAGAAAAUCUACAUCCUAUUGACUGGUUUUCACUUUGGUGACGAUGGACUGCAUCUGAGGACGUCUGUGUGUUAAUGUGCGGUGACAUCGUCAUCCCCAGCUGGACCUCCUGCUUCACCUGAAGACAAUCAGCACCAUCUGAGGAAAUUUUCAAGAUUCUAAUUUGAAUCCUUAAGUAUUUCUGUGAAUAAUGUACUGUAAUUUAGUAGUAUGACCAAAGACAAACACACAGGUGUUCCAAGCAGAACACUUCAGACUCAGAUGAAACAAAGCUCAGCUGCAACACUGAAUCAGGUAUUUUGUGGCGCCUUUUCUUUUUGAAUUACCCAACAUUAAUGUCAGAAUGGUUUGAGCUAUGUAAAUGUUUUCUUAUUUAUUGAAACUGUCGAACACUAAGCAACAAAUACAUUUCAAACCAGAUAUUAUCAUCCACUGUAAAAAAAAAAAAAUCUACCUUUUAUUCUCGCUGACUGACAUUAAAUCCACCCAAAACUUUCCAGUUCAACAUCAGUUAGAAUCAGAGUUGGGCAGUGACUUGUUACAUUUACUUAAUUACAUUUACUAUAGUAAAUUAUAAUAGUAAUUGAGCACAUUUCUACUCCCUAGUUGAGUACAUUUGUUUGAAGAAAAUUACUCUGGUUAAGACCAGAGUUCAGACUUCAGUCUUGGUUUGAUUAAGUGAACUCUGUGGUGUGGUUCAAAUGAAUGUGUGAACGCCAAAUGGACCGGAAACCGCUCCAAUAGCAAGAAGCCAAUACCAAUAGCAAGAAGCAGGGCAUUCUGGGUAAAUACAACCAAAACAAAACCACAAGGC